rnacentral:rRNA from 1 species
GAUGAACGCUGACAGAAUGCUUAACACAUGCAAGUCUACCUGAACUUCGGUUUGGGUGGCGGACGGGUGAGUAACGCGUACAGAACUUACCCCACAGUUAGGGACAACUUUUGGAAACGAAUGCUAAUACCUGAUAUUAUGAUUUUAGGGCAUCCUAAGAUUAUGAAAGCUAUAUGCGCUGUGAGAGAGCUUUGCGUCCCAUUAGCUAGUUGGAAAGGUAACGGCUCACCAUGGCGAUGAUGGGUAGCCGGCCUGAGAGGGUGACAGGCCGCAGGGGGACGGAGACGCGGACAAGACUACUAAGGGAGGCAGCAGUAGGGAAUCGUAGGCAAUGGGUGAAAGCAUGACGGAGCAAGGCCGAGUGAGUGAUGAAGGUCUUCGGAUCGGAAAAAUCUGUUAUGAGGGAAGAACAGAUGUGUAAGUAACUAAGGACGUCGUGACGGUAACGAAUCAAAAAGCCACGGCUAACUACGUG